rnacentral:lncRNA from 1 species
GGAGUGAGUUCUGACCCGUCUCAUUUUGAGGACGUUCAGGACGUGUCUUAAACCCAGCAAUCCUGUCUCAUCACGGGAUCGGAUCAACCAAAACGAGAAUUUUCCCAAGUGUCAUGUUGUGUUCGAACCCGUCCGCACCCGUACUUCAAGAUCGGGGAGGGUCGUGCUCACCCCUACUAGUAAUAUAUAAGAUUCUUGUUUUAAAAUCGAUUAAAACUUUGAAAGUCUAUUCAGAUGAAAAUUCAUUAUUUGAGAGCUGAAUGAGAACAUCGAUCUUAGUCUUUAUUUAUUUUCAAUUUCAAAUCAAGCAGAUUACUCGAAAUUGUUGUCAAAAAACUAUUAUCGAAGAUUAAAUCAAAUGAAGGUUCGUUUUAUAAUCAAUGGUUAGGAUCAGGGUUCUUGAUGAGGAUCGAAAUAUAUUACCAGCGCUCGUGGUUGUACAAAAGGACGUCUUAUCGUGCCAAAAGCUCUGAAAUUCACGAUGCGCGCUCUACGUCAAAUUUUUAAGAGAGAAAAAUCGACGAUCGGCGAUUUGCUCCGUAAAUGUCUAAGUGAAAGGGUGUGGAACUGAUUUCUUCGAUGUGCUUCGAAGGUCCCCUUUUUAUAGGGCCUCAAGAGACGCGGAGAUCGCGUCCGGAUCAUAAUUACAGUCAUUAUGAUGUCCAGACUAGACGCGAGUAACGUUCCUAAAUCGACGAUUGGUUAAAACCAACGAGUUUAAGGGAGAAGUCGUCUAUCGUCAGACUCUGACUAUCUUCUCUUAAAAUCGAC